CGGGGUUCGCCGGACUCGAGCGUGCGCACGCGCGCUGUCCCCCGGAGGCGUCUGGGUGUGCAGAGCGCGCGCGCGCGCGACUCGGAGGCGCACCUGUGAGGUGUCCCCGGAGGAGGGGGUGGGUGGGCGCUCGGAGACCGCGGCCUGGGGCGCUCGCACCCCGCACUUGGACGCCUUCCUCAGGGCGGAAGCCGCUGAGCGUUCUGCCCAGGUGAUGAGGAACGAUCCGCGCGCCCCACGCACCGGGCUGCUGCCGCUGGACGCCUCCAUUGUUUGACCACAACAAGGGCCGAGCGCUCCCAGAUUAGCGGCCCGUAUCUUUGCCAGAUCACCUCUCCUUUCCUCAGAACUCGGCUCCUUUGUGAGACCUUUCUUGUCCAACUCCAACAACUCGCUCGCUCUCUCUCUCUCUUGAGGAGCCUGCUCUGCACUGUUCGAGUUGAUAGGUUCGCUUAUUAGUUGUCUUGUUGCAACAAAGGGGGCCUGCUAUUGCAAAAAAUAAAAAUAAAAAAAUUCAA